AGUAAACGCUGGCGGUAGGCCUAACACAUGCAAGUCGAACGGCAGCACAGGAGAGCUUGCUCUCUGGGUGGCGAGUGGCGGACGGGUGAGGAAUACAUCGGAAUCUACUUUUUCGUGGGGGAUAACGUAGGGAAACUUACGCUAAUACCGCAUACGACCUACGGGUGAAAGCAGGGGACCUUCGGGCCUUGCGCGAUUGAAUGAGCCGAUGUCGGAUUAGCUAGUUGGCGGGGUAAAGGCCCACCAAGGCGACGAUCCGUAGCUGGUCUGAGAGGAUGAUCAACCACACUGGAACUGAGACACGGUCCAGACUCCUACGGGAGGCAGCAGUGGGGAAUAUUGGACAAUGGGCGCAAGCCUGAUCCAGCCAUACCGCGUGGGUGAAGAAGGCUUUCGGGUUGUAAAGCCCUUUUGUUGGGAAAGAAAUCCAGCUGGCUAAUACCCGGUUGGGAUGACGGUACCCAAAGAAUAAGCACCGGCUAACUUCGUGCCAGCCGCCGCCGUAA
rnacentral:rRNA from 1 species